GCGUGCAUGCGUGCGCUUGCGCAUGUGCACGACGAGGGCUCAUGCGGACCGAAGCUCUCCGGUGCUUCGGCACGUCCCUGUAUGCUUGCAUGGCGGGGAGGAAGUACCCUAUGACAGGACGCCAGCAUUCUUUUUGAUGCCGUUCUAGUUUUAAAGGUUUUGUAACUUCGCAAAACAAUGGAUAUGAAGAGAUAAAAUAAUUAGGGAGGGAAAAAACCUACCUUUUUUCUUGGAAGACAUUGCCUCUUUAUUGUGGAGGAAAUUGUUUGGUACUAGUUGGCCAGAAUCAAGGAAACGAAGAGUAGGACUCAGUCUUGCCCUGCUUGUUAACCACCGGUCAUGGAUCCAAGAGCAGUUCCCCAAUGGGCUGAAUGCCAGUGUUCUCUCUUGGCAAACUGGACACAGUCUGACCCGAUGGGAAUGUGGAGGCAGGGGACAGAAUGAGUUGCUCAUGUCUAUUGCUACAAGAACAAGGAGAUGAGUAAUUCUGUGUGAAGUUCAGCGAGAUGUUGAAGAUACCAUUGCAAAUGAGACGAGGUUCUUGACCCCCCAACUCCCGGAGAUGAGCCAUGGAGGAGAAAAGGCUGCGCAGCAUCUGCCUUUCUGGAGCCAGGGGAGGCUGCAGGGAGAAGAGGACAACUGCCAUGGAUCCUGAAAGAAAGUGACCAGAAAGUUAUUGGCUGUGGAAAACUGAAUCACCAGUUAGAAUCCUAUAAGAUGUCUGUACUCCAGACUUUUCUCAAGCCAAGGGUUUGUACUAUACAGGAAUUAGUGGAAUGAGUGUCUUUAAACUAUUUCAUACAUUAUCUCCUUAACUAUAAUCUCUUUGACCAUUUAUAAGGUGUAUCUAAAGUGAUGAAGUGAACGGAUAUCAGGAAAACAGGAAGACUAUGGAGAAAAAGACAGAAAUUUGAGAGGUUCUCCUCCUCACUGCUCUGGCUGCAUACCCUCACCUCUCGGGUCUGAGUGUAUCUGUAAUCCCUGGCUCUGUCUUGUCCACAUUCCAGUCCCUUGGUUGCCAGUGGAUUGAGUACUGCCCCAUUCUGCCAUGCAAGUCCAGAAUACAACACAAUACUGGGCCUAUUCCUUUGCAUUCCACAAUACAACCAACACUCAGCCCAUUCCUUUCCUGAAUACAUGGUAAUCUUUAGGCACUUAACACUGCUUACUUGAAAUUUUCCAAUGUGGCUUUCCUAUUCCCAGGUUCUUGAUGCCCUCUCUGUCAAUAUCCAAGUAUAAAGGAGAAAACAUUGCUUCUAGAUUAAGCCUCACCUGACAGCAGUACUGAUGGAAGCUUCGGAAUCUUUUCAGCUUUGAAGUGUUGGUUUUAAAAAUGCAGCAUUUACCGGAGCUCUUGGAAAAUGCCACAUCCACAACAAAGCCCUUUUUUAUCACCCAUGUGGGAUUGCAUGUCUCUUGGGCACCUCCCUGUGCUGUGUGUCUGAGGGGGUUUGUUUGACUCCCAUUCUUAGAUGGUGUUCUGCUGAAGUAACCUCAUGGUUAAGAAUCAGUCUGUGUCUGGGGGUCAUAGGUUUGAAAUAAUUUGGCAACUUUUUUGGAAACUGCAUUUUUUACACUUCAUAAUAUACGUGUUUGUUUUCAUGUAAAAUAAUGCACAGCUUUUCAGUUGAUGUGUGCCAGGACCCACUGGAAAUUCAGCAAAUGGUCUCCAGGUAUGUGUUGAGAUCUGGAAUGCUCCUAGGCAGGUUGUCUCCAGCUUUAAGUGGACCUGUCACUAUACCUGAGUGCAUGCACGUAUAUCAGCACUUUCUGUUUGCCACUGUGUGACAGGCAUUAAAAAACACUUCAUAGUUGGUUCCUUACACAUGUCUUAUCUCCUGUUGUCUUGCAUGUGAGAAGCAUGUCCCUGCCAUGUCACUUGGGGACAGACAAAGCUGGGCUUUUACUCAUCUAUGAAUCCCCAGUAUUGAUGUGUAUGAUGGCUUGAAUACCUCCUCAGUAGAUAUCUGCUCCAGCCAGUUGAAUUGAAUGAAAAAGAGAGGAAAGUGAAUCACCAAAUCAAAUCAGACCCCUCAUUGCAAAGCUGCAAGGAUCCUGGAGUUUUCAUUACACCUGCUAGGGUGUUAGGCUCACUCCAGAAGCAAUGCCUUCUCCUUCACCUCAUUUUCUUCUUUUCUUUAGAUGGGCCUCUGUA